CCCUUAGAUGUUCUGGGCCGCACGCGCGCUACACUGAUGCAUUCAACGAGCCUAUCCUUGACCGACAGGUCCGGGUAAUCUUUGAAUCUGCAUCGUGACGGGGAUAGAUUAUUGCAAUUAUUAAUCUUCAACGAGGAAUGCCUAGUAGGCGCAAGUCAUCAGCUUGCAUUGAUUACGUCCCUGCCCUUUGUACACACCGCCCGUCGCUCCUACCGAUUGAAUGAUCCGAUGAAUAUCAUGGAUUGAGGAUGUAAGCAGGUUCGCCUGUCUUCAUCUUCGAGAAGUGAAGUAAAUCUUAUCAUUUAGAGGAAGGAGAAGUCGUAACA
rnacentral:rRNA from 1 species